rnacentral:rRNA from 1 species
CCUACGGGUGGCAGCAGUGGGGAAUAUUGCACAAUGGGGGAAACCCUGAUGCAGCGAAGCCGCGUGAGUGAAGAAGUAUCUCGGUAUGUAAAGCUCUAUCAGCAGGGAAGAAAAUGACGGUACCUGUGUAAGUAGCUCCGGCUAACCACGUGCCAGCAGCUGCGGUAAUACGUAGGGGGCAAGCGUUAUCCGGAUUGACUGGGGGUAAAGGGGGCGUAGACGGCAGCUCAAGUCUGGAGUGAAAUACCAUGGCUUAACCAUGGAAUUGCUGUGGAGACUGUGCAGCUGGAGUGCAGGAGAGGUAAGCGGAAUUCGUAGUGUAGCGGUGAAAGGCGUAGAUAUUAGGAGGAACACCAGUGGCGAAGGCGGCUUACUGGACUGUAACUGACGUUGAGGCUCGAAAGCGUGGGGAGCAAACAGGAUUAGAUACCCUUGUAGUA